UGAAUACGAGACGCUACGGCGUCGAAGCAGUCUAUGUCAUACUUCCAAGAAAAGCUCGCAAUGUCAUAAACAAAUAAUGCCUGUACCAUAACCGACACAGGUGGGUAGGUAGAGUAUACUAAGGGGCGCGAGAUAACUCUCUCUAAGGAACUCGGCAAAAUGACUCCGUAACUUCGGGAGAAGGAGUGCCUUAUUUAUAAGGUUGCAAUAACAAGAUCCAAGCAACUGUUUAUCAAAAACACAGGUCUCCGCUAAGUCGUAAGACGAUGUAUGGGGGCUGACGCCUGCCCAGUGCCAGAAGGUUAAAGAAGUUGGUUAGCAUUCGCGAAGCUGAUAACUGAAGCCCUGGUGAACGGCGGCCGUAACAAUAACGGUCCUAAGGUAGCGAAAUUCCUUGUCGGGUAAGUUCCGACCCGCACGAAAGGCGUAAUGAUUUGGAUACUGUCUCGGAGAGGGGCUCGGUGAAAUAGACUUGUCUGUGAAGAUGCGGACUACCUGCACCUGGACAGAAAGACCCUAUGAAGCUUUACUGUAACUUGAAAUUGAAAUUGGACUUUAUUUGCGCAGCAUAGGUGGGAGGCGUUGAGAGUAUUCUUGCGGGAAUAUUGGAGCCAUCAGUGAGAUACCACUCUUGUAAUGUUAGGUUUCUAACUUUGGAUCAUUAUCUGGUCAAAGAACAGUUUCAGGCGGGCAGUUUGACUGGGGCGGUCGCCUCCCAAACGGUAACGGAGGCGUACAAAGGUUUCCUCUGAACGGGUAGAAAUCGUAUCUAGAGUGUAAAGGCAUAAGGAAGCUUGACUGUGAGACCUACAAGUCGAGCAGGGACGAAAGUCGGUCUUAGUGAUCUGACGGUGCUGAGUGGAAAGGCCGUCACUCAACGGAUAAAAGUUACUCUAAGGAUAACAGGCUGAUCUCCCCCAAGAAUUCACAUCAACGGGGAGGUUUGGCACCUCGAUGUCGGCUCAUCGCAUCCUGGGGCGGUAGUACGUCCCAAGGGUUGGGCUGUUCGCCCAUGAAAGCGGUACGCGAGCUGGGUUCCGAACGUCGUGAGACAGUUCGGUCCAUAUCCGGUGUAGGCGUUAGAAUAUUGAGAGGAGCCUUCUUUAGUACGAGAGGACCGAGAAGGACAUACCUCUGGUGUACCAGUUAUCGUGCCAACGGUAAACGCUGGGUAGCUAUGUAUGGAGAGGAUAACCGCUGAAAGCAUCUAAGUGGGAAGCCCACCUCAAGAUAAGUAUUCUC
rnacentral:rRNA from 1 species